GAGUUUGAUCCUGGCUCAGAAUGAACGCUGGCGGCAUGCCUAACACAUGCAAGUCGAACGAAGGCUUCGGCCUUAGUGGCGCACGGGUGCGUAACGCGUGGGAAUCUGCCCUCAGGUUCGGAAUAACAGCGAGAAAUUGCUGCUAAUACCGGAUGAUAUCGCGAGAUCAAAGAUUUAUCGCCUGAGGAUGAGCCCGCGUAGGAUUAGCUAGUUGGUGUGGUAAAGGCGCACCAAGGCGACGAUCCUUAGCUGGUCUGAGAGGAUGAUCAGCCACACUGGGACUGAGACACGGCCCAGACUCCUACGGGAGGCAGCAGUGGGGAAUAUUGGACAAUGGGCGAAAGCCUGAUCCAGCAAUGCCGCGUGAGUGAUGAAGGCCUUAGGGUUGUAAAGCUCUUUUACCCGGGAUGAUAAUGACAGUACCGGGAGAAUAAGCUCCGGCUAACUCCGUGCCAGCAGCCGCGGUAAUACGGAGGGAGCUAGCGUUAUUCGGAAUUACUGGGCGUAAAGCGCACGUAGGCGGCUUUGUAAGUUAGAGGUGAAAGCCUGGAGCUCAACUCCAGAAUUGCCUUUUAAGACUGCAUCGCUUGAAUCCAGGAGAGGUG
rnacentral:rRNA from 1 species